rnacentral:sRNA from 1 species
AGAUACGAUCCAAUGAUAGCUGGACAAGUCAGUAAGCCCUUGCUGUCAGUGCGGAGUGAAAUGAAUGCGGAGUUGAGAGGUGAGGACAAGGCUGCUACUUCAGACAGCGAGCUGAAUGAGUCCCUGCUUGCGCCUGUGGAAUCAAAUGACAGCGAGGACAUUCCCAGCAAGCUCUUCGGGGCCAGAGGAAACCCGGCACUAUCAGACCCAGGCACUCCUGACCAACACCAGGCCAGUCAGACCCACCCCCCAUUUCCAGUUGGGCCACAGCCACUUCUGACGGCACAGCAGUUAGCUUCUGCUGUGGCCGGCGUGAUGCCAGGAGGCCCCCCAGCUCUCAACCAGCCAAUCCUCAUUCCCUUCAACAUGGCGGGACAGCUAGGAGGCCAGCAAGGACUGGUUCUCACACUGCCAACAGCGAAUCUCACCAACAUCCAAGGGCUGGUGGCAGCAGCUGCAGCUGGAGGCAUUAUGACUCUGCCAUUGCAAAAUCUACAAGCUACCUCAUCCCUGAACUCCCAGCUCCAGCAGCUCCAGCUCCAGCUCCAGCAGCAGCAGCAGCAGCAGCAGCAGCAGCCUCCCCCGUCAACCAACCAGCACCCGCAGCCAGCCCCGCAGGCGCCCUUGCAGUCCCAGCAGCAGCUGCUGCAGCCCACCCCACCCCAGCAGCCACCACCCGCCUCUCAGCAGCCGCCAGCUCCUACAUCUCAGCUGCAACAGGCACCUCAGCCCCAGCAGCACCAACCCCACUCCCACUCCCAGAACCAGAACCAACCAUCUCCAACCCAGCAGAGCUCCAGCCCCCCGCAGAAACCCAGUCAGUCUCCGGGACAUGGCCUGCCUUCACCGCUCACGCCACCCAAUCCUCUACAGAUCCUGCACCCAAGGAGGAGUAUGGACUAAGGGAGAAAGGUGGAUGGAAGAAUUUGGUACUUCCUUUCAGAAAUGAUUCAGAACCAAGCACACAGAAAAUGGAGAACUGCCUACCUAGUCUAGCUAAUUGUAUGCAUUUACUGGUGAAGCAAUAAUUUUACAAAGAGGCUGGGAACUGGUCUCCUUAUUGAAUAAAGAAUAAGCUCCCAGAUUUACAUUCAUUGAUUUUCUA